UUCAAUGCAAACGGAAAUUUUAUCUUCCUUUCGCCAUCGAUUUCCAUACCUUGUCAAGGAGAGAGUUCCAAGCCCUAGGUAAGAGGAAUAAGAUUCCGGCCAAUAUCACUAAUGUCGCCAUGGCCGACGCUCUUGCUGCUCGAUCUUCAGUCCGCUGAAGGAAUGGAGGGGUUUUUGUACGGUGAUAGAUGAGUACCGGAAUCGGUUAUUGAUUUGGUUGAAGGAAUCGAGGAGUUUCCUGAAUUGCCGAUGAAAGCAGAGCUUAUUUCCUCGGAAAUUCCACGAACUGCACUGAGAACUUCAGAAAGAAGAAAGGCCUUCAAGGAUGGGGCAAGUACUACUCGAUCACAACGAUAGUAAUUUUCUUUUUGGAUUUAACAUUCUGCUAUUUGUGUCGUUACCCUUAAAUGUCCUCACAAUCUCUUUAUUCUUCGAACAAUCAUUAACAAAAAUCCCUGGAAACCGAGCGGCUGGGAACCCAUUGUUCUCGAUCAUGUCCAGUGCUGAACCCUCCCAAUGGACUGCUCGGAUCAAGUGUUUAAGGGAGCCAAAUCCUUUCUUAGGAAUGUUUUGGCGAGCAUGGAGGCUGUUUAUCUGAGUCGGAAUUCCACUGAAAAAUCCGUUUUGGAGCUUGUUCGAUCUGUUCAUGAUGAUACAAUUUGUUAUGAUCAUAUUGCAUUUAGAACUUUUGGGAUGGAUGGACAUGGGAUUGACUCAUUAGCAAGCUUUUUUUCUAAAUUUUGGAUAUACUCAAAAAGAAGAAUUAUCAUUCCCAUCAAAAAAGUUGAAAGCAUUUUGGUUUUCACCUCCCUCCAUUUCUAAUGCUUCUUAUGAUGGUGAUGGAGUCAAUGGACCUCUGCCAAGAGUAUUCAUAUCACUACUUCUUGUGAUCAGAUGAGUAAACAAACUCACAGGACAUAAUCAUAAAAUACACUGAAUAAUGUUCUUUCAAUGGGAAGAAGCAUGCUCUGCUCUGGCAAGUGUUCUGGGUUCCUUGACAUUCAGAGAAUGAGCAAUUAGCAAGUUUAAUAUGAGGUUAUUAAGGAAGGAGAUAGAGGAAGGAAGGAGAUAGAGGAGGAAGAAGGGAGAGAGCAAAGAUAGAAAAGACUGGGGAUGAGUCUGAAGAUGCAGCAGCCCCUUCUUGAAUAUGGAACCAAUUUUAAGAUGCAGCAGCCCCUUAUUCAAUAUGGAACCAAUUUCUCUUCCUCGAUAAUUUUUUCCCAUCUGUUUGAGCAAACAUUUAGCUAAUAUGUGUAUAUGUUCUUUACAUUGCUGCAGCACCAUAUUCUAAUGGAGAUGUGAAAUGCUUCUCUGAAGAUGAAAAAGUAAAUGGAGCUUCAGAAGAUGAUUCGUGGAGAUCAAAAAAUAUGGAACCAAUUUUAAGAUGCAGCAGCCCCUUAUUGAAUAUGGCAUCAAUUUUUCUUCCUCAGUAAUUUUUUUCCAUCUGUUUGAGCAAACAUUUAGCUAAUAUAUGUAUAUGUUCUUUACACUGCUGCAGCACCAUAUUCUAAUGGAGAUGUGAAAUGCUUAUUUGACGAUGAAAAAGCAAAUGGAGCUUAAGAAGAUGAUACGUGGAGAUAAAAAAAACCUCACAUACUUUCCUUCUCAGGAAACUUUUGCUGAGUACAUGAUCCAAAUAGGUUUCAAGCGGCCUUUGCUUGGUGGCAUGGCACUUUUAGCUAGAAAAUUUUGAGAAGCAGCAUGUGUGGAACUCCUGAUAUGCCUGAAAAAUGGAUCCUAUGAAGGAAAAUAAAGAAUUAGAAAAUGGAACCAAUUAUUGAAUAACUGUCAAUUUUUCUCCAUCUAUUUGAGCAACAUUUAGCUGAUAUGUGUAUGUCCUUUGCAGCUCCACAUUCUCAUCUUUGAAGAUAGUAAAUGAAGCUUCCAAAGAACAUAGAUUCUGUGGAGAUUUCUGCUUAAGGAAAUCAGAGAUUGCUACAGCAAAAACUGCUCACC